rnacentral:tRNA from 1 species
GUUAAUGUAGCUUACAACAAAAGCAAAGCACUGAAAAUGCUUAGACGGGUAGCUAACCCCAUAAACA